AGAGUUUGAUCAUGGGCUCAGGACGAACGCUGGCGGCGUGCCUAAUGCAUGCAAGUCGAGGGAAGCAAUCCGAGUGGGUAACCACCCGGUUUGACUGACCGGCGAACGGGUGAGUAUCACGUGAGGAACCUGCCCCGAAGACCGGGAUAGCCCGGGGAAACCCGGAUUAAUACCGGAUGCCCUCACUGAGCCGCAUGGUUCGGUGAGGAAAGGCUCAGGCGCUUUGGGAUGGCCUCGCGGCCUAUCAGCUAGUUGGUGAGGUAGCUGCUCACCAAGGCAACGACGGGUAGCUGGUCUGAGAGGACGACCAGCCACACUGGGACUGAGACACGGCCCAGACUCCUACGGGAGGCAGCAGCAGGGAAUAUUGCACAAUGGGCGCAAGCCUGAUGCAGCGACGCCGCGUGAGGGAUGAAGGCUUUCGGGUCGUAAACCUCUUUCAGGAGGGACGAAGAUGACGGUACCUCCACAAGAAGGCCCGGCUAACUACGUGCCAGCAGCCGCGGUAAUACGUAGGGGCCAAGCGUUGUCCGGAAUUAUUGGGCGUAAAGAGCUCGUAGGCGGCUCAGCAAGUCGGCCGUGAAAACCCGAGGCUCAACCUCGGGACGCCGGUCGAAACUGUUGUGGCUAGGGUCCGGUUAGAGGAGAGUGGAAUUCCCGGUGUAGCGGUGAAAUGCGCAGAUAUCGGGAGGAACACCAGUAGCCGAAGGCGGCUCUCUGGG
rnacentral:rRNA from 1 species